CACUGGUGGUGUGUCCAAUACAGUACAGUACAGUACAGUGCUAUAUUAAUACUAACACUGGUGGUGUGUCCAAUACAGUACAGUACAGUACAGUGCUAUAUUAAUACUAACACUGGUGGUGUGUCCAAUACAGUACAGUACAGUACAGUGCUAUAUUAACACUAACACUGGUGGUGUGUCCAAUACAGUACAGUACAGUACAGUGCUAUAUUAAUACUAACACUGGUGGUGUGUCCAAUACAGUACAGUACAGUACAGUGCUAUAUUAAUACUAACACUGGUGGUGUGUCCAAUAGGUUCGUGCUAUAUUGGGCCCUCAGUCUUAUCUAUUGCAAGCUGCUGAGGAACUGUAUGAGAAAGAACUGACUCCAUUAGCAGAAGAAAUAUUAAAGGAGGGUGGUGGUGUUGGUGAUGCUAGUAUUAGGAAGAUUGCAUAUUUUGAUGGAGCUAAAGACCCUUCGCUCUUUAAGGGAAAUAAGCGUGACAAGACUCGUGUAGUUACUUACAGGUGCCCCAGUAACUGUGCAGUCCAAGUGUACAAUUAUAUAGA